ACGUCACUUUCGCUUCUUCCCUGCUGAAAGAGGUUUACAACCCGAAGGCCGUCAUCCCUCACGCGGCGUCGCUGCAUCAGGCUUUCGCCCAUUGUGCAAUAUUCCCCACUGCUGCCUCCCGUAGGAGUCUGGGCCGUGUCUCAGUCCCAGUGUGGCCGGUCGCCCUCUCAGGCCGGCUACCCGUCGUCGCCUUGGUGAGCCAUUACCUCACCAACUAGCUGAUAGGCCGCGGGCUCAUCCUGCACCGCCGGAGCUUUACACCAUCUACCAUGAGGGAGAAAGUAUUAUCCGGUAUUAGACCCCGUUUCCAGGGCUUGUCCCAGAGUGAAGGGCAGAUUGCCCACGUGUUACUCACCCGUUCGCCACUAAUCC
rnacentral:rRNA from 1 species